UACGGGGGGAGCAAGCGUUGUUCGGAUUUACUGGGCGUAAAGGGCGCGUAGGCGGCCAGUUCAAGUCAGUUGUGAAAUCUCCGAGCUUAACUCGGAACGGUCAACUGAUACUGUGCGGCUAGAGUGCAGAAGGGGCAACUGGAAUUCUUGGUGUAGCGGUGAAAUGCGUAGAUAUCAAGAGGAACACCUGCGGCGAAGGCGGGUUGCUGGGCUGACACUGACGCUGAGGCGCGAAAGCUAGGGGAGCGAACGGG
rnacentral:rRNA from 1 species